GACGAACGCUGGCGGCGUGCUUAACACAUGCAAGUCGAGCGAUGAAGUUCCUUCGGGAACGGAUUAGCGGCGGACGGGUGAGUAACACGUGGGUAACCUGCCUCAUAGAGGGGAAUAGCCUUCCGAAAGGAAGAUUAAUACCGCAUAAGAUUGUAGUACCGCAUGGUACAGCAAUUAAAGGAGCAAUCCGCUAUGAGAUGGACCCGCGUCGCAUUAGCUAGUUGGUGAGGUAACGGCUCACCAAGGCGACGAUGCGUAGCCGACCUGAGAGGGUGAUCGGCCACAUUGGGACUGAGACACGGCCCAGACUCCUACGGGAGGCAGCAGUGGGGAAUAUUGCACAAUGGGGGAAACCCUGAUGCAGCAACGCCGCGUGAGUGAUGACGGUCUUCGGAUUGUAAAACUCUGUCUUCAGGGACGAUAAUGACGGUACCUGAGGAGGAAGCCACGGCUAACUACGUGCCAGCCGCCGCCGUAAAAC
rnacentral:rRNA from 1 species